UGAGGAAUUUUCGUCAAUGGGGGAAACCCUGAACGAGCAACGCCGCGUGGAGGACGAAGACCUUCGGGUUGUAAACCUCUCUUCGGGGGGAAGAAGUUCUGACGGUACCCUCGGAAUAAGCCUCGGCUAACUACGUG
rnacentral:rRNA from 1 species